rnacentral:rRNA from 1 species
GACAGAGGGUGCAACCGUUGUUCGGAAUUACUGGGCGUAAAGGGCGCGUAGGCGGCGUGUUAAGUCACUUGUGAAAUCUCUAAGCUUAACUUAGAACGGUCAAGUGAUACUGAUGUGCUAGAGUGCAGAAGGGGCAACCGGAAUUCUUGGUGUAGCGGUGAAAUGCGUAGAUAUCAAGAGGAACACCUGAGGUGAAGACGGGUUGCUGGGCUGACACUGACGCUGAGGCGCGAAAGCUAGGGUAGCAAACGGG